rnacentral:rRNA from 1 species
GAUUUUUCAAUGGCCGCGGUAAUUUGACCGUGCAAAGGUAGCAUAAUCACUUGUCUCUUAAAUGGAGGCUAGAAUGAAUGGUUGGACGAGAUAUAUACUUUCUUUGUAGUAUUAAUUUGAAUUUGAUUUUUGAGUUAAAAAGCUUAAAUUUUUUUAUGGGACGAGAAGACCCUGUAGAAUUUUAUACUGAAUCAUUUUAAUUGUUUUUGGUUUAUUAUUGACUUUUUUUAUUGUUUUAGUAUUUUGUUGGGGCGACAGGAAGAUUUUUUUAACUCUUCUUAUUUUUUUUCAUUGAUUUAUGUUUUAUUUUGAUCCUUUAUUAAAGAUUAAAAGAUUAAAUUACCUCAGGGAUAACAGCGUAAUCCUUUUGGAGAGUUCUUAUCGAUAAAAGGGUUUGCGACCUCGAU